rnacentral:lncRNA from 1 species
AGAGACAACAUAAAUUAGUAACGAAAUAUUCGAGUUAAAAUAUUAAAUGUAAUACAAGAUACACAUUAGAGUAUAGAGUUAUACCGGUAUAUUUAUUAUUAGUUGCGUCUAGGAGACUUUGGCAAUUGCAUAUUUCUAUCUUUUUUUCUUCUGAAAAGCCUUCUUGAUAGAUUCAAGAUCAAUUCCUUUAAAUAUCUCCCGCUCAAUAUACACCACCAUCAAGUCAUUAAGCCAACCAUCAGACAUCUUGUUCCGCAACUCAGUUU